CUCUUCAUUCGUGGGAACGAGCUAUACUCGUCCGUGGUCGGUUUUCCUGUGCUGCAUACCAAUUGCUACGGCAUUCGAUUGGCUGAAACGGUCCCAUUCCCGCCCUGUGCCGGCGCUCCGUGCGGGCAUUCGACACGGGGUGGAUCUCAAGGCUCGCGUAGUGUUUCGCGCCGCAAUCACCUAAUUUGGUGUUUGGGUAGGCGACGCACGACGUGAUGCCCGUCGUCUCGGGUACGGAACAUCGGGUGGGUUCGAGGCAUUGUCCUUUGAUCACCACACAAAUGCGUUCUACGCUUUAUGCGAACGACAGCCGCGCRGCCUCCGACGGAGCACCCGUUGCUCGGUCGGAGUYGCUUCGGCGUCGGUGAGGGAUGC
rnacentral:misc_RNA from 1 species